UACGUAGGGGGCUAGCGUUGUCCGGAAUCAUUGGGCGUAAAGCGCGCGUAGGCGGCCCGGUAAGUCCGCUGUAAAAGUCCAGGGCUCAACCCUGGAACGCCGGUGGAUACUGUCGGGCUAGAGUCCGGAAGAGGCGAGUGGAAUUCCUGGUGUAGCGGUGGAAUGCGCAGAUAUCAGGAGGAACACCGAUGGCGAAGGCAGGUCUCUGGGCCACUACUGACGCUGAGAAGCGAAAGCGUGGGGAGCGAACAGG
rnacentral:rRNA from 1 species